GGUGAACGCUGGCGGCGUGCCUAAUACAUGCAAGUCGAACGAACACACGAUGAGCUUUCGCCUCUGACGUUAGCGGCUGACGGGUGAGUAACACGUGGAUAAGCUACUUAUAAUACUUGGAGAAAUACGUGAAACCACAUAUGAUACCAGAUAAUAUGUUGAACCGCAUGGUUCAAUAGUGAUAGACAGGUUUGCUGUCACUUAUAGCAGAAGCCGCGCCGCAUUAGCUAGUUGGUAAGGUAACGGCUUACCAAGGCGACGAUGCGUAGCCGACCUGAGAGGGUGAUCGGCCACACUGGAACUGAGACACGGUCCAGACUCCUACGGGAGGCAGCAGUAGGGAAUAUUCCGCAAUGGGCGAAAGCCUGACGGAGCAACGCCGCGUGAGUGAUGAAGGUCUUCGGAUCGUAAAACUCUGUUAUUAGGGAAGAACAAAUGUGUAUGUAACUACGCACGUCUUGACGGUACCCAAUCAGAAAGCCCCGGCUAACUUCGUG
rnacentral:rRNA from 1 species